rnacentral:rRNA from 1 species
CAAAGAGGUCACACCCGUUCCCAUACCGAACACGGAAGUUAAGCUCUUUAGCGCCGAUGGUAGUUGGGGGCUUCCCCUGUGAGAGUAGGAC